CCCACACCCGCCACUCUAACGGAAGUACAGGUGUGUCACUGCGCUCACAUGCCAGAAGGGUCGCCGCGCGUCUUUGCGUCUGAGCGCUGACACGAAAAAAGAGAAGAGCAUCAUUGGUGCUCUUGCCUGUUCUUGGCCCCUUACUUUUCUCUGCACGCGCAACAUCAAGCACCAUGACUUCCUUCAAGGACUGCCUUCGCGAGGUACGCGAGGCCGCCACGGAGCAUCUCGAGGGGUGCCGCGGCGGCGACACAGAGAAAGCACUGCAGCACAUACCACGCGAGGAGGCUCUGACUACGAUCUCGCUUGUAGCGAUUCGGCUCCUGGAGCAGGAGCUGCAGAAGCGCGGCGCCUGCGACGACGCCAGUCAGAACGAGCUGCACUCAAAACUCAAGGCAUGCCGCAAGGCCCUCAAGUCUCACAGCGCACGCUCCGCCGCCGGAGACGAAGGCACCUCGGACAAGAAGCGUCGCCGGACCGAGGACUCUACCGAAGAGCCAACCUCCUCCUCCUCGUCCCGCGGCACGGCUACAGCAGACCGAUCAGGGACCUCCAAGUUGAUUGAGUUGGGACAAUACGCUUCUUCCGACGCCUUCGACGAGAACGAGCAGAAGCGAAUGAAGUUUGCGCGCCUCAUGGGCGGGGCAAAGGUGGCUGCUCAGGAGAAGGGCGGCGCUGGCGGGCACUCGCGCCACAAUACUUUUGCCGCGAGCAACGCCGAGUUGAAGCGCAUGAACGCGAACCUAGAGUCGCAGUUCGAGUUUGCUAUGAGUCACAAGGGCAAGAAGGGGCUCGGGGCGUGAAGCGCGACAGGAACCCCGCGCAGGCGGAACACGUCAGGUGGGGAGACAGUGGCCAGCAAGGCGGUGCGCCCCUUUCCCACCCCUUCUCCCUCGUUCGGUUGCUCUCCCUCGGCCCCAGCUCGCUUUUCGGUGUGUUUGUGUGCGCGUGUGUCACCUGUAAAAUGUGGCGUAAUAUCGAUGAACUAAUCGCCCAAAGAGACGUAGCAAACAGGAAGGGAGGAGGAGGAAGGAGAGAGGGACACCAGUGGGGCGUUUGCGUGCAGGCAGAUGCCAACAGUUGCGCCGUUGACAGCAGCACAAGUGUGAGCGUGUGUGUGUGUGUGUGUCGCCACGACACAAUGCAAGAUGGCAGAAAAUAGCCAGGGCGCUCGGAAAAGGAAUGGAGAAGGGAAAGCGGCGUUGUGAUUCUGCUGCCUGGUGCAAAUGCUGUCGUGACCCACCACCACCCCUCUUUCUCGUUUUCUUUCCGAGUCCGCUGCCCUCACCCUCCUCUCUCAGCCACCAAAGCAGCACGGGAUACGUGCUCCACCUUUGGGGUAGUGUGGGCAGUAGGGGGGGGGGCCUGCUCCUCGCACUUCGAUGCUUCUUUCCUUCACUUUAUGUCUGCCAGCAGGCGUAAGGUGGUGAGGCUCGCUCCGGUGUUGCACGGCAUGCAGCGAUGGCAGUAGCAGCAUCUAUAUCUUCCCUGUAUCGUUAUCCCUCUCCUACGUUUGCCCUCUCUUCUCUGCUGAAG
rnacentral:misc_RNA from 1 species